CUGCCCUGCACUCUGGGAUAAGCCUUGGAAACGGGGUCUAAUACCGGAUAUGACAUGUCACCGCAUGGUGUGCGUGUGGAAAGUUCCGGCGGUGCAGGAUGAGCCCGCGGCCUAUCAGCUUGUUGGUGGGGUAGUGGCCUACCAAGGCGACGACGGGUAGCCGGCCUGAGAGGGUGACCGGCCACACUGGGACUGAGACACGGCCCAGACUCCUACGGGAGGCAGCAGUGGGGAAUCUUGCGCAAUGGGCGAAAGCCUGACGCAGCAACGCCGCGUGGGGGAUGACGGCCUUCGGGUUGUAAACCUCUUUCGACACCGACGAAGCCUUCGGGUGACGGUAGGUGUAGAAGAAGCACCGGCUAACUACGUGCCAGCAGCCGCGGUAAUACGUAGGGUGCGAGCGUUGUCCGGAUUUAUUGGGCGUAAAGAGCUCGUAGGCGGUUUGUCGCGUCGGCCGUGAAAACUCACAGCUUAACUGUGGGCGUGCGGUCGAUACGGGCAGACUUGAGUUCGGCAGGGGAGACUGGAAUUCCUG
rnacentral:rRNA from 1 species